UUUCAUGGGAGAAGCGCUAAACUUUACCUCAACAUUUAUGUAAAGUUAAAGCUGCACAGAAUAAACCAAGGCAAGUCAUGUUCAUCAGAAUCAAUUAUUCAAUUAUUAACCAGUUUUCAGCACUUGCUACUGGGGAUUCUGUAGUGAAGAAAAUAAAGUUCUGGUCUGAUAGAGGAGCCAAUGUUAUCUCUGUUAUGUAAUGAUGAAGUGCUAUGAAUAUAAUAAUAUUCAUUAAUAUGCUAUAUUUCAUAGAUAAUAUAAGUAUACAAAAUUAUAAAUUUGUUUGGCAAAGAACACAAAAUUAUCUUUUUUAUUUACU
rnacentral:lncRNA from 1 species